rnacentral:rRNA from 1 species
AUUGAACGCUGGCGGCAGGCCUAACACAUGCAAGUCGAGCGAGCGGCGGACGGGUGAGUAAUGUCUGGGAAACUGCCUGAUGGAGGGGGAUAACUACUGGAAACGGUAGCUAAUACCGCAUACCAUCAGAUGUGCCCAGAUGGGAUUGGCUGGUAGGUGUGGUAACGGCUCACCUAGGCGACGAUCCCUAGCUGGUCUGAGAGGAGGACCAGCCACCCUGGAACUGAGACACGGGCCAGACUCCUACGUGAGGCAGGAGUGGGGAAUAUUGCACAAUGGGCUCAAGCCUGAGGCAGACAUGCCGCGUGUGUUAAGAAGGCCUUCGGGUUGUAAAGCACUUUCAGCGGGGAGGCGUUACCCGCAGAAGAAGCACCGGCUAACUCCGUGCCAGCAGCCGCGGUAAUUC